rnacentral:rRNA from 1 species
CGGAGAGGGCGCAUGAGAAACGGCUACCACUUCUAAGGAAGGCAGCAGGCGCGCAAAUUACCCAAUCCUGACUCAGGGAGGUAGUGACAAGAAAUAACAAUAAACCGGCUUAUGCCGGUUUAAUUGGAAUGAGUACAAUUUAAACAUCUUAACGAGGAACAAUUGGAGGGCAAGUCUGGUGCCAGCAGCCGCGGUAAUUCCAGCUCCAAUAGCGUAUACUAAAGUUGUUGCAGUUAAAAAGCUCGUAGUUGGAUUUCUGCGGGGACGGAGCGGCCGGACGCAACUUGCGUCUCGAGCUAGCGCUUUCCCCGCAUCCUGCCGCGAACCGUGCUACCAUUAGCUUGGUGGCGCUGGGGAUCGGCUCGAUUACUUUGAGAAAAAUAGAGUGUUCAAAGCAGGCCACACGCCUUGAAUAAGUUAGCAUGGAAUAAUGACUAAGGACUUCGGUUCUAUUUUGUUGGUGUUCGGGACUGAAGUAAUGAUUGAUAGGGACAGUUGGGGCGGUCUGUAUUCCAAAGCGAGAGGUGAAAUUCUUAGACCUUCGGAAGACAAACAGCUGCGAAAGCGUUCCGCAAGGAUGUUCCCUUUGAUCAAGAACGAAAGUUGGGGGAUCGAAGACGAUCAGAUACCGUCGUAGUCUCAACUAUAAACUAUACCAGCUAGGGAUCGGUCAACGUUUAAUCAUUCGACUUGAUCGGCACCUUAUGAGAAAUCAAAGCAUCUGGGUUCCGGGGGGAGUAUGGUCGCAAGGCUGAAACUUAAAGGAAUUGACGGAAGGGCACCACCAGCCGUGGAGCCUGUGGCUUAAUUUGACUCAACACGGGAAAACUUACCAGGUCCAGACAUAGUAAGGAUUGACAGAUUGAUAGCUCUUUCUUGAUUCUGUGGGUGGUGGUGCAUGGCCGUUCUUAGUUGGUGGAGUGAUUUGUCUGGUUAAUUCCGUUAACGAACGAGACCCCAGCCUGCUAAAUAGCGCGGCUGAGCUUUGCUCGGUGCGAGCUUCUUAGAGGGACUAUGAUGCGCGAUAGCACAUGGAAGUUUGGGGCAAUAACAGGUCUGUGAUGCCCUUAGAUGUUCUGGGCCGCACACGGGCUACACUGGCGCCUGCAACGAGCAUAUCAGCUGGCCCGAGAGGGUCUUGGCUAAUCUUUUGAACCGGCGCCGUGCUUGGGAUUGACCAUUGCAAUUGUUGGUCAUGCAACGAGGAAUGCCUUGUAAACGCGAGUCAUCAGCUCGCAUUGAAUACGUCCCUGCCCUUUGUACACACCGCCCGUCGCUCCUACCGAUGUAUGUUCCGAUGAAAUUUUCGGAGAGCGCCAGAGAACGGGGCUCCGCCUUGCAGAUCUGGAGGCUCAAAGUCACUUAAAUCUGAACAUUUCGAGGAAGGAGAAGUCGUAACAAGGUAACC